GAGAUUAAAGAUUUACCGGUGAUGGAUGGGGAUGCGUCUGAUUAGCUUGUUGGCGGGGUAACGGCCCACCAAGGCAACGAUCAGUAGGGGUUCUGAGAGGAAGGUCCCCCACAUUGGAACUGAGACACGGUCCAAACUCCUACGGGAGGCAGCAGUGAGGAAUAUUGGUCAAUGGACGAGAGUCUGAACCAGCCAAGUAGCGUGCAGGAUGACGGCCCUAUGGGUUGUAAACUGCUUUUAUAAGGGAAUAAAGUGAGUCUCGUGAGACUUUUUGUAUGUACCUUAUGAAUAAGGACCGGCUAAUUCCGUGCCAGCAGCCGCGGUAAUACGGAAGGUCCGGGCGUUAUCCGGAUUUAUUGGGUUUAAAGGGAGCGUAGGCCGGAGAUUAAGCGUGUUGUGAAAUGUAGAUGCUCAACAUCUGCACUGCAGCGCGAACUGGUUUCCUUGAGUACGCACAAAGUGGGCGGAAUUCGUGGUGUAGCGGUGAAAUGCUUAGAUAUCACGAAGAACUCCGAUUGCGAAGGCAGCUCACUGGAGCGCAACUGACGCUGAAGCUCGAAAGUGCGGGUAUCGAACAGGAUUAGAUACCCUGGUAGUCCGCACGGUAAACGAUGGAUGCCCGCUGUUGGUCUGAAUAGGUCAGCGGCCAAGCGAAAGCAUUAAGCAUCCCACCUGGGG
rnacentral:rRNA from 1 species